rnacentral:misc_RNA from 1 species
AAGUCGUAACAAGGUCUCCGUUGGUGAACCAGCGGAGGGAUCAUUACAGAGUGUAAAAACUCCCAAACCCAUGUGAACUUACCACUGUUGCCUCGGUGGGCCUCCGGGCCUGCCGGUGGACAAAACAAAACUCUUGAAUAUUUGUAUCUCUGAAUCAACUUUUAAUAAGUAAAAACUUUCAACAACGGAUCUCUUGGUUCUG